rnacentral:piRNA from 1 species
UCUAAGAGACCCUUUUUGAAAAGAAACC